CUGGUGUCAACGAAGAGGAUCUGGAGAUGCUUGGUGAAGUAAGCUAAUGCUAAUGUGUGUCUCUCAGGUGUGUGUGUCUCAGGUGUGUCCUUACUUCAGAGCCUCCAGGGACAGUCUGGUUCCUGACAGGCUGACUGUGGUCAGAGCGAGGGCACUGCUGAAGAACUGUUUAAAGGACGACGGGAUCUCUUUACACUUCCUGUACAGAUGGGAAAACCUGUGUUUUGACCUGGUUUGUGUUGGGACAGUGUGUGCGUUUACAGACAGGUGAGAGACCUGUGAGAGAAGACGGUUUUUGACAUGUUGAGGACACGAAGAUGUUUCAAAGAUCCUCUUAGUAAGGAGGAACAUGCCUGAAAAUAAAACACCACAGAAGAAACGUGAACAAUGAGGUUUUCACACACGAUUAAAUAAACAACGUUUACAAACGUGGUGGUCCCUCAGGUGAGCGUCAGGUGUGUGUACCUGCUCCAGACAGCAGUCGCUGUUGGACAGGUCCAGACUCUCCAGACAGUUGGAGUGACUCAGGAAACUCUGGAGGCUCUGGGAAAAGACAAAAUCACACUCAGCGUCUUCGUCCUGCUGGAUCAAUGAAGGUCUGAAUACGGGCGAGCGUCCCACCGGCAGGUCGUCUCCUCUCAGGGAGUUUCCUGACAAGUCCAGAUGUUUGAGCGUGGUGGCCACAGCUGGGUUCGAGCAGAGCGCCUGACAGAGACUGUUUACACCUGAAAGAUGGAGAAAAUCCACCUGAAGAGAAGAACUCACACAACAGGAAGUGUUCCAGUCCUUCUGUGAGUCCACCUUUAGGGGAUGUGGAUGUUCUGGACAGGUUCAGGAGCUUCAGACCCAUGGGAAGUUUGGACAGCUGGGUGCUCAGAGCCGAAAGACCUGCAGGAAGUGACAUCACAUCAGUGAAGCAUUGACCUUUGUGUGUGUGUACCUCUGUCCUCCAGGGAGCUGUUGCUCAGAUUGAGAGUGUGUAUGUUUGUGUGUGCGUGUGUGUGUCACUGUCCUCUAGAGACCUGUGCUCAGAAUGAGAGUGUGUAUGUUUGUGUGUGCGUGUGUGUGUGUGCGCGUGUGUGUGCCACUGUCCUCCAGGGAGUUGUUGCUCAGAUUGAGUGUGUGUGUGUGUGUGUGUGUGUGUGUGCGCACGUGUGUGUACCUCUGUCCUCCAGGGAGUGGUUGCUCAGAUUGAGAGUGUGUGUGUGUGUACCUCUGUCCUCCAGGGAGUUGUUGCUCAGAUUGAGUGUGUGUGUGUGUGUGUGUACCUCUGUCCUCCAGGGAGUGGUUGCUCAGAUUGAGAGUGUGUGUGUGUGUACCUCUGUCCUCCAGGGAGUUGUUGCUCAGAUUGAGAGUGCGUGUGUGUGUACCUCUGUCCUCCAGGCAGUUGUUGCUCAGACUGAGUGUGUGUGUGUGUGUAUACCUCUGUCCUCCAGGGAGUUGUUGCUCAGAUUGAGUGUGUGUGUGUGUGUGUGUGUGUACCUCUGUCCUCCAGGGAGUUGUUGCUCAGACUGAGUGUGUGUGUGUGUGUAUACCUCUGUCCUCCAGGGAGUUGUUGCUCAGAUUGAGUGUGUGUGUGUGUGUUUGUGUGUGUGUCCCUCUGUCCUCCAGGGAGUUGUUGCUCAGAUUGAGUGUGUGUGUGUGUGUUUGUGUGUGUGUCCCUCUGUCCUCCAGGGAGUUGUUGCUCAGAUUGAGUGUGUGUGUGUGUGUUUGUGUACCUCUGUCCUCCAGGGAGUUGUUGCUCAGAUUGAGUGUGUGCAACAUGGAGGCAGGGUUGUGUGACAGAGCAACGGCCAGUUUCUGAGCAAAAUCACUGCAGGUGAAACAACCACGAGAGUGAGUUGAUGACACAAACAGAAUCAAUCCUGCAGCCUCGUCCAGAGAGGAAGAUAAUGAUGAUGAGGAGAGUUUUAGACCUUUUCAGUCCAGCGUUCUCCAGCACCAGUUCUUCCAGCCGACUGGAGCGAGCCACGACCCGGAGGAUCUGCUCACACACGUCUGUGGACUAAAACACUUUCAUCUCAGUCAGACUGUCAGAGAGCAAAUCUGGAUCUGAAUAAACAACAGGAAUUUGUGGUUCAUCUGUCCACAACAAAAACUACUGCUUGAGGAGAAGAAGAGAGAUGGUGAUGCUGGAGAACAUCUGGACCAUAGUGGAGGUUGUACGUCUCCAUUGAUGUAUUGUUUUGUAAUUGAAGCUUUAUUGAUUUUACCAGUUUGUAGUCCUUGCUGGAGACCUUAGUGAACCACUGGUUGUACUCCAGAACUGUGGUGAUGGCCACCAGGUCCCUAGAAAAACAGCAGAAGAAGAGUUAACGGCAGGGAAGUCAGAGCUCCUGUUCUUCACACUCGCACCACCUGUUCUCCAGGUGAAUGAAGUCCUGCAGGUUGAGAUCUCUGGUGUCCUGGGUCAGGUAGAUGGUGUCAACGUCCUGCCACAGGUGAGACAGCGAGACAGGUAAAAAGCUCCACAUGCAACAGACACAUACAGAACAGGCCUAACCUGACCAAACCAGUGCUAAUGUAGCUAAUGCUAAUGCCGGAUGCUACAGAACAGGCCUAACCUGACCAAACCAGUGCUAAUGUAGCUAAUGCUAGCUACAAACAGGCCUAACCUGACCAAACCAGUGCUAAUGUAGCUAAUGCUAAUGCUGGAUGCUACAGAACAGGCCUAACCUGACCAAACCAGUGCUAAUGUAGCUAAUGCCAAUGCUGGAUGCUACAGAACAGGCCUGAAACAGUUGACCAAUCAGAGGGCAGUAAUCAGAUGUCCCUCGUCAUCACAUCCAGGCUAAACUGAAGUGCUGAAAGGUACUGACCCACUGGACCUCCUCUCUGUAUGGAAUACCCAGGAAAUCACACACACACCCGGUACUGAUGAGAGAAGCCUCCUGCAACGAGACAGCACCACUGUCAGAACCUGAAGACACACUCCAGAACCGUUUCCACUGUGACCCACCGCACGGUCCCAGAUCAGCCGGGCCCUGCUCCUCCCAGAGAGCCUGCAGGGCCGCCGUCCUGUCUGGAGGCUUCAAACUCAACUUCUUCAUCAGCUUCCUGCGUCAGAGAGAAACAGAAUGAAGAGAUUCCACAUAGGCGCCAGCGUUCCGGGCCUGUGUCUCGGAGAACCUGAGGUACUCAGUGACUCCGCCCCCCUACUGGCACCUACACAGGUGAUCCUUGGGGGGAGAUCCUCCGGAGACAGCUGCCGAUGUGAGCGAUCACCUCAUCCACCUCCUCGGUGGAGCCCAGGUGGAGGUUCCACAGGCCGCGGUCAUACUGCAGCACCAACUGCAGGGGGCGACACAGAGCGCUGAAUCAUUAAUGAGCUGCAGGACGAGCUGCUCCACAUCUGGUCUGCACACACCUGAGUGGGCUUGUUGCUGCUGAUCCCCUGGAUAUCCAGGUAACUGAAGGAAUGUUCAAGCUGUAAUAAAACAGGGUUAGAGAUUAGGAAACCUAAUCUUGGAUUUCAUCAUGUUUACAAACAAACUGGCGGAUGAAGCAACACACCAGAGCUGUUUCUGGU
ensembl:lncRNA